rnacentral:rRNA from 1 species
UACGUAGGGAGCGAGCGUUGUCCGGAAUCAUUGGGCGUAAAGCGCGCGUAGGUGGCUUCGUAAGUCCGCUGUAAAAGUCAAAGGCUCAACCUUUGAAAGCCGGUGGAUACUGCGGAGCUAGAGUCCGGAAGAGGCGAGUGGAAUUCCUGGUGUAGCGGUGGAAUGCGCAGAUAUCAGGAGGAACACCAAUAGCGAAGGCAGCUCGCUGGGACGGUACUGACACUGAGGCGCGAAAGCGUGGGGAGCGAACAGG